rnacentral:ncRNA from 1 species
GCACCACCGGGACGCAUCGAUCCUCGGACCACCAACACGGUCGCCAGCGUGGGCCCCGCCCAUCAGGUCCGAGGGGAGCCAAUCGCGAGACCGACCCGGCCGACG